rnacentral:rRNA from 1 species
UGACCUCAGCUCAGACAAGAUUACC